rnacentral:rRNA from 1 species
AACGAACGCUGGCGGCAUGCCUAACACAUGCAAGUCGAACGAGACCUUCGGGUCUAGUGGCGCACGGGUGCGUAACGCGUGGGAACCUGCCCUUAGGUUCGGAAUAACUCCCCGAAAGGGGUGCUAAUACCGGAUAAUGUCUUCGGACCAAAGAUUUAUCGCCUUUGGAUGGGCCCGCGUUGGAUUAGCUAGUUGGUAGGGUAAAAGCCUACCAAGGCGACGAUCCAUAGCUGGUAUGAGAGGAUGAUCAGCCACACUGGGACUGAGACACGGCCCAGACUCCUACGGGAAGCAGCAGUGGGGAAUAUUGGACAAUGGGCGAAAGCCUGAUCCAGCCAUGCCGCGUGAGUGAUGAAGGCCUUAGGGUUGUAAAGCUCUUUUACCCGGGAUGAUAAUGACAGUACCGGGAGAAUAAGCUCCGGCUAACUCCGUG